rnacentral:hammerhead_ribozyme from 23 species
UCUGAUAGUAGGAUGCGUAUCCUGCCUGAUGAGUCCGAAAGGACGAAAUCAGAA